CCUACGGGAGGCAGCAGUAGGGAAUCUUCCGCAAUGGACGAAAGUCUGACGGAGCAACGCCGCGUGAACGAUGAAGGCCUUCGGGUCGUAAAGUUCUGCUGUUAGGGAAGAACAAGUGCUAGUUGAAUAAGCUGGCACCUUGACGGUACCUAACCAGAAAGCCACGGCUAACUACGUGCCAGCAGCCGCGGUAAUACGUAGGUGGCAAGCGUUGUCCGGAAUUAUUGGGCGUAAAGCGCGCGCAGGCGGUUUCUUAAGUCUGAUGUGAAAGCCCCCGGCUCAACCGGGGAGGGUCAUUGGAAACUGGGAAACUUGAGUGCAGAAGAGGAAAGUGGAAUUCCAAGUGUAGCGGUGAAAUGCGUAGAGAUUUGGAGGAACACCAGUGGCGAAGGCGACUUUCUGGUCUGUAACUGACGCUGAGGCGCGAAAGCGUGGGGAGCAAACAGGAUUAGAUACCCUGGUAGUCCACGCUGUAAACGAUGAGUGCUAAGUGUUAGAGGGUUUCCGCCCUUUAGUGCUGAAGUUAACGCAUUAAGCACUCCGCCUGGGGAGUACGGUCGCAAGACUGAAGCUUAAAGGAAUUGACGG
rnacentral:rRNA from 1 species